rnacentral:rRNA from 1 species
CGGGUGAGUACAACAUAGGAAAUCUACCUUAGGGUGGGGGACAACAGAGGGAAACUUCUGCUAAUACCCCAUAUGAGCUUGGUUGAAAUACCAAUCUUGAAAGUUCCGGCGCCCUAAGAUGAGCCUGUGCCUGAUUAGCUAGUUGGUGGUGUAAUGGACUACCAAGGCAACGAUCAGUAGCUGGUUUGAGAGGAUGAUCAGCCACAAUGGGACUGAGACACGGCCCAUACUCCUACGGGAGGCAGCAG